UGGGGAAUAUUGCACAAUGGGCGCAAGCCUGAUGCAGCGACGCCGCGUGGGGGAUGACGGCCUUCGGGUUGUAAACUCCUUUCGCCAGGGACGAAGCGUUUUGUGACGGUACCUGGAGAAGAAGCACCGGCUAACUACGUGCCAGCAGCCGCGGUAAUACGUAGGGUGCAAGCGUUGUCCGGAAUUACUGGGCGUAAAGAGCUCGUAGGUGGUUUGUCACGUCGUCUGUGAAAUUCCACAGCUUAACUGUGGGCGUGCAGGCGAUACGGGCUGACUUGAGUACUGUAGGGGUAACUGGAAUUCCUGGUGUAGCGGUGAAAUGCGCAGAUAUCAGGAGGAACACCGAUGGCGAAGGCAGGUUACUGGGCAGUUACUGACGCUGAGGAGCGAAAGCAUGGGUAGCAAACAGGAUUAGAUACCCUGGUAGUCCAUGCCGUAAACGGUGGGCGCUAGGUGUAGGGACCUUUUGGGGUUUCUGUGCCGUAGCUAACGCAUUAAGCGCCCCGCCUGGGGAGUACAGCCGCAAGGCUA
rnacentral:rRNA from 1 species